GGGUUCCCUGGGAGCGUCCAGUCAGGCCAUGGGCCAGAACUGCCCUUCCCUUGUUGCUGCCUCCCAGAUCCACGUGGACUUGACUCAUUUUAGAAGCUGCUCACCCCAUUGAUGUUAUAACCAGGGACUGCAUACAUCACAAUUGGCAGGACCUGCUCAUGUUUGGCAAAAUGGAAGCGUUCUGGAAGUUCCUUCUUCUUAUAGACAUUGAGGGGAGGGUGUGCGUGCUUCAGCGCUUGGUCAACAGCUUCCUCCUGCCCGGGCUUGGGCAGGAGCACCCCAAAGCUGCCGUAGUCCACGAUAUCACACUUGACCAAGUCCCUGAAGCUGAUGUAGUUGCUCAGGAGGAUCUCGGUGACAUUGGGCUUCUUUUUCACGAUGGUCAUGCCGUGGUCUGAUGUGAUGAUGACGUUGAGGUACAGGGUCAAGCCGUGCCUCUGGAUGGCUUCCAACAGGUACCCGAUGGGUCUGUCGAUGGGCCGAAUCCUCACCCUCCUGUCCUCUGUCUUGGGCCUGAAGCGGUGCCCCAUGUCAUCAGGCUCCCUGUAGUACAGAGUCACGAAGUCAAGGUCCGCCUUGGUGAACCAGUUCAUGAUGAUCUCGAUGUUCUCCUGCUCUUCUGCCUCAUUGUCCUUCGGGUGAGGGUAUGACUCCACCAGGGACCGCCAGCCGGCCUCCCCUUCGUACUUGGCACCUCCCUGGGAUAGUGGAAUGAUGCCCUUUCCCUCCCCUGCAAGGCCAAGAAGAGAAGACUGUCAGGGCCAUUUCUCCCAUCUUUCUCUUAUUGUGCAAAGCCCAGUGUGCCAGCCUCCCUGCCCCGGGCCAGAGGCAUCAGAAACACGUGGGCUGUGGACGGAAUUGGGUGGGGCUGGGCUUCCUUCCUGGCAUCACCAGGAUCUCAUGGAAUCUAAAACACUCCUAGUUGUGAGACGUGUCUUUAUUUUACAUACUCCUGUGAAGAAAAAUGCUGCCAAUGACAGCAGGACGCGCCAGUGAUUGUAGGAUGCAUUUCGAUUCUGGACGGCAAAAUGAACAAAAAGUGCCUUGGGAUGGAGGAAGAAUGGUACUAAGUUGGCGAUGGAGGCAGAGGAGGACAAGACACAGAAAAAAGGAGGAGAUGGACCAAGGAGGCAGAGGGACCAAGGAAGCAGAGGGGCGUGAUGCAGCCACAAGCCCAGGAGUGCUGGCAGCCACCAGACAUGGAAGAAGCAAAGACAGAUUCUCCCCUAGAGCCUCGAGAGGGAAUAUGGACCCCUGACACCUUGAUUUUGGACUUCUGGCCUCCAGACUUUCUGUUGCUCUAAGCAUCCUAUGGCACUUUGUGACAACAGCUGCAGGGAACAAAUACACCUGUGCCCUCAGUCUCAGGUGGUUCCAGCUACUCCUCUCACUCCAGGCCUUGGAAUCCCGAGCAGUCAUGACCUUUUUGCUCCAUUGCCCUGGUGUUUCGGGCUGACCCUUCCUCUUGUGUGAUGCGUGGACCUGCAGCAUUGGCAUCCACUGGGGGCUCAUUGGAAAUGUAGAUUCUCAGGUCCCACCCCAGACCCACUGAAACACAGUCUGCAUUUUAACCAGAUCCCCAGGUGAUUCACGAACACAUUCAAAUUUGAGAAGCACCAGUGGAAGCUCUCAGGUGGCAACUAGAGCAUUUCUCCUCCCGCAAGUAUCCUAGUUUCUUCAUGUCAGUUCUGUUAAAUAUGGUGGGGAGAUUUUGUAAAAAGAAACCCAACCCUUAGCUUAGAACUGCACAUUGAUGUGUUAUGGAUGCAAUGGCGCGAUGUCUGAACUUUGCUGUAAAAGAUUCAAGGAGGGAGGGAAGGAGGAAAAGAAGGAAGGCAGGGAGGAAGGAGAAGGCUUUGGGUGGGGACAGUAGAAUAAGACUGGUAAAACGUGAACAGGUUCUUGCAGCUCCGUGUUGGGUAGAGGGGGCUUCACUGCGCAGUUUUCUCUGCUUUUUCUGCAUGUUGGAAAUUUCCAUAAUGAAAUGUUAGGAAACAUCCUGGUUUCCCAGCCUUCCUUAUGUUUAGUUUUUUUCCAUGGCUCUGUUUUUUUCUCUCCUCAUGGUAAUGGCUGGUGCUGGAGAGACAUCUUUUCUGUCUCGGCUUGUGCUUUUCUUUGCUCUGUUUGUUCAUGUUUGUGGCUUUCUUGGCUUCUGGGACUUUUUCAGCAGAGAGUUAUUGCUGGGGGAGUAGGAUGGGAGCUGAUUAAGGUUUAUGGCCUUGUCUAACUGGGUUUCCAACAACAUCUGCUAGCCUUGUAUUGUUACUGGCAGCAGGAAUUUAAUUUCCCUUCUCUUUCUCUACUCUCUCACCUCUUUUAGACUUUGUCCACUGGCCAGAGUAUCACGUUUGGAAGCUUUGGCUCUCUGAUUUACAUGUGAUUUGCAUAUUACAAUCUAGUCCAGGGAUUCCAAUUAGGGGGUGAGUUUACCUCCAAAGGAACAUGGGGAACUGUCUGGAGACAUUUUUGGUUGGCUCGACUAGGAGAGGGAUGCUGCUGGCAUCUAGUGAGUAGAAGCUGGGGAUACUGCUAAACACUUUAUAAUGCACAGGGCAGCCUCCCCGCCCCCACCCUGGUCCCCAAGACAAAGAGUGAUCUGGCCCCAAAAGUCAAUGGUGGGACAUAGAGACAGCCCGAUCUAGUCUUAAAGAUCAUCCAAGUGCACUUGGCCACACUUUCUUUGCUUCUGUCCCAUGAAGGAGAGGUGGAUUCAUGGCUUAUGACAACAUCCAAAGGAAAGUUUACUUCUUAUAGGUUGAUUUUGGCAGCGAAUGCAAGGGAUGGCUCAUUUGUGUAGGUUGUGUCCUGCACACCUCCAGGGGGCACCACCCACAAAAUAUUCAUGAAAACAACCCUCUCAGAAUUGCCUACACAGCUCUAAGUGGUUGUUCCGGUUUUGGGGUUGCCCUAGGGGUUCUGGAACUGGGAGAGACUUUGUAUCUGGCCCCCAGGGGCCAUGAGCAUGCCAUCGAGGGUCCUUUCCAGAAGGGAGGAAAAGUGGAACUGUGAGGACCCCACUUGCAUUAUUCUCGACCAUCAUCUCUUUAUGGAGUUUCUCCUUUUCACCCCUGGGCCAUGGCCUUUGGACUAGAUCUAAAAUUGUCAGAUUAUAAUAUCACGGCUUUUGUUUGAAAUAUGGUGGUGAUAGCUUCUUAUUUUCCAUCAGUUCCUUGGGGGAGGAAAUACAUGCUGUUGCCAUAAGACUUUCUAUCCACCCACUCUUUGCUUGGCGGGAUUUCCUUAGUUUCACCAGCAUAAUUUAUUCUUGCUGGCCCUCAAUCACUUUGCAAUAAAAACUGAGAUUGCAAAAAUGUUCAUUGUCAUUACCAGUGAUGGAGCAGUAAGUACAGGCUUCUGGAGAGAGAGGGAGGAAAUCAGGUGAUUUAAAAUAGCAGAAUGAGCUGCUCACCCCCAGAGAAUGGCUUUUCAUUUUGGCAGGAUCUGAGGGGAAUUACGACAGAGUUCAGGGGCACGGAGGGACAGGGCUGGGAGGUAUGGUCACCCAUUGCACUGGGAGCCUGUGCCCUGUGGGCAGCCCCAUGGAUGGAGCUUUGGUUUCUUGGGCCUCAGUACUGGGUCACUGGCUGCAAACCCAUCAUCACACUGUUGGGCCCAGGCCGGAUGGUAGACCACUGAGGUUUCUGCCAGGCCUCUUCCCUUACUCCUCCCUCUGAUGCCAGUCUUGACUCCCCCCUGUGGGCCCACCCCCUCCAUGGGUGACAUGGUUUGUGUGGGGCUUGCUAUUGCUCGCCUUGACCUGGAGGUGGGCGUAGGGGCCCAGCUUGGGUGGUCACCAUCAUUCCAUCCCCCUGGCCACGGAGAUUGGUUGUGAGAAGCAAACUGGCCCAGUGAAAGUCAAUCUCGGUCACUCUUAGGAAAGAGAAGUAGACAGAAGAAUUGGAAGAAGUAAAGAGAGAGCUCCAUCAUUCUGAUGACAUAGUUUGGGGAUCUGGAUGUAGCCAUGCCUAUAGCUUUGGGUUAAUUAUAUGUUACAGUUUCAGUCACGCUCCUCACAAAAGAUAGGGUGGCGUCCUGAGCCCCAGCGCCUCAGAAUGUGACCUUAUUUGCAAAUAGGGGCAUUGCAGAGGUGAGGUCAUCCUGGAGUAGUCCAUUAAGCCAAGAAACUGGUGUCCUUAUCAUAAGAUGGCCAUGUGAAGACAGAGACCCAGGAAGAACCUUGUGGGUGGAUGGAGGCUGAGAGAGAGGCAUCUCCAAGCCAAGGAAAGACAGAGAUCACCAGCAAACCAGGGGAGGCUUUCAGAGGGAGUAUGGCUAGAUCAACAUCUUGAUUUCAGGCUUCCGGUUUCUAGAACCAUGAGACAAUGAAUUUCUGUUGUUUUAAGCCAUAUAGUUUGUGGUACUUUGUUCUGGCAGCCCUAGGAAAUUAAUAGAAGUACUUUCUUUUUCUUUUUUUUUUUUUUUUUGUCUUUUGUCUUUUUGUCUUUUUUGUUGUUGUUGUUGUUGUUGUUGUUGCUAUUUCUUGGGCCGCUCCCGCGGCAUGUGGAGGUUCCCAGGCUAGGGGUUGAAUCGGAGCUGUAGCCACCUGCCUACGCCAGAGGCACAGCAACGCAGGAUGCGAGCCGCGUCUGCAACCUACACCACAGCUCACGGCAACGCCGGAUCGUUAACCCACUGAGCAAGGGCAGGGACCGAACCCGCAACCUCAUGGUUCCUAGUCGGAUUCGUUAACCACUGUGCCACGACGGGAACUCCAAUAGAAGUACUUUCAAAUGAAUAAUCCUCCUCUUUCUCCUCCUCCUUCUAAAUCAUCCUCAUCUUCAUCCCUUUGCCUGAGCAAAAGAAAGGGUCUCCUCCAGAUGUGGAGACUGAUGUGCAGAGUCCAGACUCCAUGGUCACUCAGUGCCCCUCUUGCAUUGGCUCCCGGGCCUUGGGUUAGACCAUAAGUCUGGGGCUUUCUGGAGCUCCAUUGGAGAACCACCCCUAUUACCUGUUGCCUUUACACAAAGGCUGAUGCUCACCUUCUGGUUAUCUGAGCUCCAUCCAGGACUUAUUCAUGGUAGGCAGAAUUAAGAUGGUCCCAAGGAGGGGGGAUGCGCUGGGGUUUGGGAUGGAAAUACUAUAAAAUUGGGUUGUGAUGAUUGUUAUACAACUAUAAAUGUAAUAAAAUCU
rnacentral:lncRNA from 1 species